GGGACCUAGCGUAGUUCGGAAUUACUGGGCGUAAAGCGCGCGUAGGCCGUUGAGUUAGUUAAUUGUGAAAUCCCAAAGCUUAACUUUGGAACUGCAAUUAAAACUGCUCGACUAGAGUUUGAUAGAGGAAAGCGGAAUACAUAGUGUAGAGGUGAAAUUCGUAGAUAUUAUGUAGAACACCAGUUGCGAAGGCGGCUUUCUGGAUCAACACUGACGCUGAGGCGCGAAAGUAUGGGUAGCAAAGAGGAUUAGAUACCCUCGUAGUCCAUACCAUAAACGAUGAUUGCUAGAUGUUGGAAAUUUAUUUUCAGUAUCGCAGCUAACGCAUUAAGCAAUCCGCCUGGGGAGUACGACCGCAAGGUUAAAACUCAAAUGAAUUGACGGGGACCCGCACAAGCGGUGGAGCAUGUGGUUUAAUUCGAAGAUACGCGCAGAACCUUACCAACCCUUGACAUGUCUGUCGCGAGUUUAGGAAACUAGACUUUUCGGUUCGGCCGGACAGAACACAGGUGCUGCAUGGCUGUCGUCAGCUCGUGUCGUGAGAUGUUGGGUUAAGUCCCGCAACGAGCGCAACCCCUACUUUUAGUUGCCAUCAGGUCAUGCUGGGCACUCUGAAAGAACUGCCAGUGAUAAGCUGGAGGAAGGUGGGGAUGACGUCAAGUCCUCAUGGCCCUUACGGGUUGGGCUACACACGUGCUACAAUGGUAGUGACAAUGAGAUGCAAGGUGGCGACGCUAAGCUAAACUCAAAAAUCUACCUCAGUUCGGAUUGCACUCUGCAACUCGAGUGCAUGAAGCUGGAAUCGCUAGUAAUCGUAGAUCAGCGUGCUACGGUGAAUACGUUCCCGGGUCU
rnacentral:rRNA from 1 species